AGGACGAACGCUGGCGGCGUGCUUAACACAUGCAAGUCGAGCGGUAAGGCCUUUCGGGGUACACGAGCGGCGAACGGGUGAGUAACACGUGGGUGAUCUGCCCUGCACUUCGGGAUAAGCCUGGGAAACUGGGUCUAAUACCGGAUAUGACCCUCCUAUCGCAUGGUGGGUGGUGGAAAGAUUUAUCGGUGCAGGAUGGGGCCCCGCGGCCUAUCGAGCUUGUUGGUGGGGUAAUGGCCUACCAAGGCGACGACGGGUAGCCGACCUGAGAGGGUGACCGGCCACGACUGGGACUGAGACACGGCCCAGACGUCCACGGGAGCAGCGAGUGGGGAACUAGUUGGCAACGAAUGGGCGAAAGCCUGAUGCAGCGACGCGCGUGACGGAUCGACGGCCUUACGGGUUGUAAACCUGUUU
rnacentral:rRNA from 1 species